UUGAAUUUUAAAUCCUCCACAGAUUUCAUCCAACACAGACCUCACAUUACUUAAGUGUGUAAUGGAGAAGUCGUACCAACUGGUCGACUUUUAGACUAGCCGAUGACUUUUUGUUUCACAUCUAUUAGUCACAAUCACAUGACAGGAACUGGGUGGGAAAUGUCAGAUAGUUUCAGCUGUAUAAACAAUGUGUAAGUAAAUUAUCAAAGGGGUUCMRCWAGCUCUGGCAAAGACUACCGGAAUAUCGUGCAACUUGUUACAUGUUUGGCUCUUUCUCAUCCGUUUAACUGAUUUUCAACAUGAUCAGCGUCAUCCUGCGUGUUGAAGGGCCUAUCAUGGCAGUAUUAGUGUUUAUAAAAACACUGUAUGACAGCAGAAAAAUCUCUACCCCUGUUGUCGUUGGCAGGUCGGUUCAUCUCACAAAGUCAGAGAGCCGCUGCCUGGAGUCUCUGGAGCAGCCUGCUGCGCAUCGAGGGAGAGCCGCCUGAAGCAGCAGGCCACAGGGACAGAAGUUCACCAGAGCUGGCGCUGAAGAAGUCUGGAAUAACGUUCUUGUUAUUCUGCAUAACAUACUGCUGUCCAAGCUGUCUUUUGUCGGUAUUUGCUGUGAAAAUAUUUUAUAAAGCUUGGAAGCUUCUGCGAA